AACGAACGCUGGCGGCAUGCCUAACACAUGCAAGUCGAACGAGACCUUCGGGUCUAGUGGCGCACGGGCGCGUAACGCGUGGGAACCUGCCCUUAGGUUCGGAAUAACUCCCCGAAAGGGGUGCUAAUACCGGAUAAUGUCUUCGGACCAAAGAUUUAUCGCCUUUGGAUGGGCCCGCGUUGGAUUAGCUAGUUGGUAGGGUAAAAGCCUACCAAGGCGACGAUCCAUAGCUGGUCUGAGAGGAUGAUCAGCCACACUGGGACUGAGACACGGCCCAGACUCCUACGGGAGGCAGCAGUGGGGAAUAUUGGACAAUGGGCGAAAGCCUGAUCCAGCCAUGCCGCGUGAGUGAUGAAGGCCUUAGGGUUGUAAAGCUCUUUUACCCGGGAUGAUAAUGACAGUACCGGGAGAAUAAGCUCCGGCUAACUCCGUG
rnacentral:rRNA from 1 species